GAUGAACGCUGGCGGCGUGCCUAACACAUGCAAGUCGAACGGAGUUAUUAUUAUGAAGUUUUCGGAUGGAUUAAUAAUAACUUAGUGGCGGACGGGUGAGUAACGCGUGGGUAACCUGCCUCAUACAGGGGGAUAACAGUCGGAAACGGCUGCUAAAACCGCAUAAGAUUGCACUGUCGCAUGGCGGAGCAAUUAAAUAUUUAUAGGUAUGAGAUGGGGCCCGCGUCUGAUUAGCUAGUUGGUGAGGUAAUGGCUCACCAAGGCGACGAUCAGUAGCCGGCUUGAGAGAGUGACCGGCCACAUUGGGACUGAGACACGGCCCAAACUCCUACGGGAGGCUG
rnacentral:rRNA from 1 species